rnacentral:rRNA from 1 species
UACGGGGGGGGCAAGCGUUGUUCGGAAUUACUGGGCGUAAAGGGCUCGUAGGCUGCCAACUAAGUCGGACGUGAAAUCCCUCGGCUUAACCGGGGAACUGCGUCUGAUACUGGAUGGCUUGAGUUUGGGAGAGGGAUGCGGAAUUCCAGGUGUAGCGGUGAAAUGCGUAGAGAUCGGGAAGAACACCAGUGGCGAAGGCGGUCUGCUGGGCCGUUGCUGACGCUGAGGCGCGACAGCGUGGGGAGCAAACAGG